AUGCACAUUGCUUUGAGGAUACUCAACUUGACCACAAGUUCAUCCGGAUGUGAAAGAAAUUGGAGUGUUUUUGAACAAGUGGAUGCAAAGAGGAUAAAUAAACUAGACGUGCAUCGUAGGGACGAUCUAGUUUAUAUUCAAUUCAAUGAAAGAAUGAUAGACAAGAGGAAGAAGUACUCCUCAUCUUGUGAUGUUCUUCUUGGUGAAGAUGCUUCCAUGGCACAAGAUUGGAUAUGUGAAGGUGCUUACGUUGAUGCUGCGGAGGAGGUUGAUGCGGAGGAGGUUGAUGCAAUGGGAGCUUCCGAGUUUGUUGAGCUACGUAGAAGUGCAAGAGUGAGAGAACUUCAUGAAGUGGAAGAAUUUGUUUCCGAUGGGGAAGAAUCUGAUCACGAGCUUGUCAAUGAGGAUGACAUAGACUUUGAGUCCGAUGAUGAUGGGGUGAUACAAGGUGCCAAUGAAGAUGAGGAGGGAGACCCGAUGGAGCCUUAA
rnacentral:rRNA from 1 species